AUUGAACGCUGGCGGUAUGCUUAACACAUGCAAGUCGAACGAUGAGAAAGAGCUUGCUCUUUCGAUUAGUGGCGGACGGGUGCGUAACGCGUAGGAAUCUACCUAUUAGUGGGGGACAACUUAGGGAAACUUAAGCUAAUACCGCAUACGCCCUACGGGGGAAAGAAGGGGAUCGCAAGACCUUUUGCUAAUAGAUGAGCCUGCGUAGGAUUAGCUAGUUGGUGGGGUAAAAGCUCACCAAGGCGACGAUCCUUAACUGGUUUGAGAGAAUGAUCAGUCACACUGGAACUGAGACAUGGUCCAGACUCCUACGGGAGGCAGCAGUGGGGAAUAUUGGACAAUGGGCGAAAGCCUGAUCCAGCAAUACCGCGUGUGUGAAGAAGGCCUUAGGGUUGUAAAGCACUUUCAAUUGGAAGGAAAACCUCGAAGCUAAUACCUUCGAGUUUGACAUUACCUUUAGAAGAAGCACCGGCUAACUCCGUGCCAGCCGCCGCGUAACAC
rnacentral:rRNA from 1 species